rnacentral:rRNA from 1 species
GAUAUGGCUCAGGACGAACGCUGGCGGCACGCUUAACACAUGCAAGUCGAACGAGAGAAGAGAAGCUUGCUUUUCUGAUCUAGUGGCGGACGGGUGAGUAACACGUGAGCAAUCUGCCUUUCAGAGGGGGAUACCGAUUGGAAACGAUCGUUAAUACCGCAUAACAUAAUUGAACCGCAUGAUUUGAUUAUCAAAGAUUUAUCGCUGAAAGAUGAGCUCGCGU